AGUGAACGCUGGCGGCAGGCCUAACACAUGCAAGUCGAACGGAAGCACAGUAAUUGCUCGUGCAUACGGGGGGGGAGUGGCGGGUGAUGGCGGAGAACAUGGGAGGUUACGGGGUCUUGGGGGAGAAAGCAGGGACUCAUACGCCAUUCGUGCAGAGGGCGAACGGGGGAGAGCAUCGGACCUCCGGAUAUCGGAUGAUCCUAUGUCGGAUUAGCUAGUUGGCGGGGUAAAGGCCUACCAAGGCGACGAUCCGUAGCUGGUCUGAGAGGAUGAUCAGCCACACUGGAACUGAGACACGGUCCAGACUCCUACGGGAGGCAGCAGUGGGGAAUAUUGGACAAUGGGCGAAAGCCUGAUCCAGCCAUGCCGCGUGGGUGAAGAAGGUCUUCGGAUUGUAAAGCCCUUUUAGUUGGGAAGAAAGGCAGUAAGUUAAUACCUCGCUGUUUUGACGGUACCAAAAGAAUAAGCACCGGCUAACUUCGUG
rnacentral:rRNA from 1 species